rnacentral:rRNA from 1 species
AGCUCCAAUAGCGUAUAUUAAAGUUGUUGCAGUUAAAAAGCUCGUAGUUGGAUCUCGGAUCCGGGCGGGCGGUCCGCCUCGCGGCGGUCUACUGCUCGACGGCGUCAGUGUCUGGGUCGGCCCUUCGCGGGGUGCGGAUCGGCUGGCGUCUUUCCCGGUCUCUCACCCUCCGGACGCCUGUCGGUGCCCUUCGCUGCGGUGCCGGCAGCGGCCGGGACGUUUACUUUGAAAAAAUUAGAGUGUUCCAAGCAGGCGUGUUCCGCCCGAAUAAUGGUGCAUGGAAUAAUGGAAUAGGACCUCGGUUCUAUUUUGUUGGUUUUCGGAACUCGAGGUAAUGAUUAAGAGGGACAGACGGGGGCAUUCGUAUUGCGGUGUUAGAGGUGAAAUUCUUGGAUCGCCGCAAGACGAACUACUGCGAAAGCAUUUGCCAAGCAUGUUUUCAUUA